ACCUCUGCAAUAAGCGAAAGCUUGACAGGGUUACUCUGAGUGAUUUCCGCUAAGGAAGUCUUUUGGCACCUCUAAAAAUGGUGCAGAAUAAGGGGUGGGCAAGUCUGGUGUCAGCCGCCGCGGUAAUACCAGCACCCCGAGUGGUCGGGACGAUUAUUGGGCCUAAAGCAUCCGUAGCCGGUCCUGCAAGUCCUUUGUUAAAUCCACCCGCUCAACGGUUGGGCCGCGGGGGAUACUACAGGGCUAGGAGGCGGGAGAGGCAAGCGGUACUCGAUGGGUAGGGGUAAAAUCCACUGAUCCAUUGAAGACCACCAGUGGCGAAGGCGGCUUGCCAGAACGCGCUCGACGGUGAGGGAUGAAAGCUGGGGGAGCAAACCGGAUUAAAUACCCGGGUAGUCCCAGCUGUAAACGAUGCAGACUCGGUGAUGGGCUGGCUUCGUGCCAACCCUGUGCCGCAGGGAAGCCGUUAAGUCUACCGCCUGGGGAGUACGGUCGCAAGACUGAAACUUAA
rnacentral:rRNA from 1 species